AUAUAAUGAUCGCGCGGUCUUUCAGAGCUCGCGCGAUUCGAUCUUGAGUACAAGUUCAAUCUCGGCUCGGUCGAACUGUAUAGUAGAUAUAACUCUUGAGAAGAGAAAAUCGCGUCCGCCGGUAGCAGAUGUGGGAAAGGCAGAGUGUCGCAUCAGCGGUACUCGACCCGUCAUCCCAUCCCCCCAUCGCAUCGAUGCAGUUACGGCCAUUACAGCAUUUUAUGGAGUACUUUUAUCAGCCAGCUGCGAGCCGUACGACCGGAGGGACGCGGCAGUAGUAACGGAACGCUGUGGUCAGACGCGCCGGCCGCUGAUGGAGCGUGGCUACACGUCGAUCGACACUUAACCGCUCUUUGAAUUAGGAUUACUAUGUAAUUUGCCAGUGCACUUUCGUAUUACGAUCAAUCUUUUAUAUUUUGUGUUUUAAUGCGUUCAGAGCACAUGGCUCAUCUUUCGCUGAUGUGUCUCAGAAUCAAUUAAAAUUUCUAAGCAUCAACUAAAUUUAUUAUACAUAUGUGUUACGUAUAUCAAAACAAAAUCGAUUUUGUACGGCUUCGCGUCGCACUGAACGAACUACGUCUUUCAGUGAAUGUGUGUAAAAUAUUUCUCGUAACAGAAAAUUACUAUCAACGUGUAAAUUCUAAUUAAAAUGCAGAUUACAUUUGCCUGAGUAAAGGAGAAAGAACAUGACGACGAGAGAUUACAUCUCGCUACGAUGCGAUCGCGUAGGAGCAAUUAAUAUUCUAUCUUAAUGGAUCCCAUUCGUGUAGCGUGGAGCCGUUUGAAAUUCCGCAGCGAAUCGAGUAAGUCCAGAGUCAGAUUACAGUCGGGGAAUGGUACACCGGCCAUUAACAGUCUAUUCUAUAAAUUUCGAUCGAUCUUUGCGGUGAUCGUUAAAAGCGGCGGAAUAAAACUCGUCAAACAGGUCAGCUAGAUCGUGAUGAAUCGCAAUCAAAAGCGGCGCUGACGAACAAUGAUGGAAGGGUCGGGCUAAGUUCAUGACCUUUAAGACUUUAUAAAGUUUAUAAAGUACCAGUAAAUCCGGGGGACGGUUCGUACGGCCAAUUCUCUUCGACUUAAGUCGCAACCGUUCGCUAUUAGGUAACUCGAAAGUUCUAAGAUAUUUAGGGCGAUCAUAUUACGGAUUACAUGGUUCUCUGUGUACGCGUAUCUCGCAAUAAAUUAAUAUGCCAGCUCGCAUUAAUUACUCGCUUCUCGUUUAUAAUACGCGUAUAACUAAUCGCAGAUAAUCGCGAGUUCAUUUCGAAUUAUUCAAGAAUUAUACGUCGGCUUUAAUCAACAAACGGAUGAAGCUGCUAUCGACGCAAACAAUGUGCCCCGGGUAUUUAUUGCGGUUGCUAAUACCGGUUUAUUGGGAUGUAAAAUGAGGCGACUUUGUGCUGACACGCUCACUUUGCUCUUGGCCCAAGUUUACUGACAUCAAAUAGCUCGAUAGAAGACACCAAUGUUUCUCAAGAUAAGUAAAAGUUUGCGUGAGACUGUUACUAAUAAUUAUCUAAUUUAAUAGUAUAAAACACAAAGUUUAUACACUAUCUUCAUUUCAAUUUAAUUUGAUAAGUAUGUAACAGGGUAAUGAAAGCGUGCGCAUUUUAUUAAGUAAGAAAAAUACACUUAUUUCGUUAAUUUUUAAAUUAACUUAAUAUAUUUUUCUAAUAAAAAAAUGAUCGAAUGACGCAGUCUUUUUCAAAUUAUAAGAUAUAUUUUAUAAAGAUUAAAAUCUCUAAUUAUUCAAAAUAGAUAUGUUUUACUAUGUAUGCACACAUACACACAUAUGCGCGGUAAUUUUUAUUCUGGUCAAUCAUGUAAACAAAUAAUCUUGAAAUUAUCGACGUAAUGUUUUUAAUAAUAAAUAAAUUGUACAAUUCGCUUUCACACAUAAUGCUAUCGCUGGUGGCUGUAAACACACAGUAAUGUGUCGAUACAGUUUUCUCCAAAUAGUUCUCUAUAUCACUGAAUAUGCAAACACAUAGCAGAUAAAUUGAUGAAAAUAAUAUAUUAAACAAAUCCUCAGCGAUAAACAUAUAAUAUCGGAAACUGAGUAAUAUGUAAACAUCGUUUGUAAAAUUGGAUUUGUCGAUGAUAUAAUCGUCGCUUGAUUAUAAAUAUCAUUAAAUAUCUAAAAGAAAAAAAAA
rnacentral:lncRNA from 1 species